CAGUGGGGAAUAUUGCACAAUGGGCGGAAGCCUGAUGCAGCGACGCCGCGUGAGGGAUGAAGGCCUUCGGGUUGUAAACCUCUUUCGGCAGGGACGAAGCGCAAGUGACGGUACCUGCAGAAGAAGCGCCGGCCAACUACGUGCCAGCAGCCGCGGUAAGACGUAGGGCGCGAGCGUUGUCCGGAUUUAUUGGGCGUAAAGAGCUCGUAGGCGGCUUGUCGCGUCGACUGUGAAAAACCACGACUCAACCGUGGGACUGCAGUCGAUACGGGCAGGCUAGAGUUCGGUAGGGGAGACUGGAAUUCCUGGUGUAGCGGUGAAAUGCGCAGAUAUCAGGAGGAACACCGGUGGCGAAGGCGGGUCUCUGGGCCGAUACUGACGCUGAGGAGCGAAAGCGUGGGGAGCGAACAGGAUUAGA
rnacentral:rRNA from 1 species